CGCCCAACAGGUCCAGCCCAGCGGAACCCAGGCCACCCUCUGAGCCGGUUGCCUCCGCCGCCAUGUGCGCCGCCGAGGUGGACCACCGCGUAGCCCGGAGAUACCUGCUCAAGAGGCGGCUCGGGAAGGGGGCCUACGGCAUUGUGUGGAAGGCAGUGGACCGGGGGACUGGUGAGGUCGUUGCCAUCAAGAAAAUCUUUGAUGCCUUUAGAGAUAAGACAGAUGCCCAGAGAACGUUCCGGGAAAUCACACUCCUCCAGGAGUUUGGGGACCAUCCCAAUAUUAUCCGCCUCCUUGACCUGAUGCGGGCAGAGAAUGACAGGGACAUUUACCUGGUGUUGGAGUCUAUGGACACUGACCUGGAUGCCGUCAUCAGGAAGGGCGGGCUGCUGAGGGAUGUCCACAAGCGCUACAUCUUCUACCAGCUCCUGCGGGCCACCAAGUUCCUCCACUCAGGGCGAGUCAUCCACCGGGACCUGAAGCCAUCCAAUGUCCUCCUGGACGCCAACUGCGUGGUGAAACUCUGUGACUUCGGCCUGGCCCGCUCUCUGAGCAACCUCCCUGAGGGGCCCGAGGGCCAAGCCCUGACCCAGUACGUGGCCACACGCUGGUACCGAGCUCCGGAAGUGCUACUGUCCUCAAGCUGGUACACUCCUGGGGUGGACAUGUGGAGUCUGGGCUGCAUCCUAGGGGAGAUGCUUCGAGGGCAGCCCCUGUUCCAGGGGACAUCCACGCUCCACCAGCUGGAGCUGAUCCUGGAGACCAUACCGCCUCCAUCCGAGGGGGACCUCCUGGCCCUCGGCUCAUGCUACAGCACCUCCAUUCUGCACGGCCUGGGGUCCCGGCCACGGCAGAUGCUAGAUGCCAUCCUGCCACCAGACACACCCCCAGAGGCCCUGGACCUCCUCAGGCUACUCCUGGUGUUUGCCCCUGACAAGCGACUCAGCGCUGCCCAGGCACUGCAGCACCCCUACGUGCAGAGGUUCCACUGCCCUGGCCGAGACAGGACUCCGGAGGCGGAUGUGCAGCUCCCGGUGCACGAAGGAGUCCAGCUCUCCGCGACUGAGUAUCGCAACCGCCUCUAUCAGAUGAUCUUGGAGCGGAGAAGCAACAGCCACGUCGGGAAAGAGGAGGGCUUGGGGGAUGCCCCUCUGCCAACAAAGCCCAGGGCCUCUGGGCCUCAGGUGCACCCGCUCAAGCCCAGAGCCGGCACUCAGCUCCUCUCAAGGGCGCCUGCACAGAACCCUGGACUCAGGCCUCAGAAUAGCCCUGGGCCUGAUCUGGAGCAUGAUGCCCCCAGCACAGCCAGGAACAUUUCCAGGAAGAAUUCAGCCCCCCUGCCCCAACCUGUGCCCCCUGGGACAGAGGCAAAGCCCCCCUCGGCACCCUCUCGGGUGAAGCCCAGCGUGAGAGGGGCAGUGCCUUCCCUGACCUGGCAGUCUGCAGCCCAGUUAGCCAACCAAGCCCUGAUGCGCAGUGACUGGACCCGGUCCUGUGGGGUGAAGGCAGCUGGCGUGCCACUGGUUGCUGCUAUACAAGGCAUUGGCCGUGGCUGAGGCCAGGCGCGCCCGUGGGCCCCGCUCGUCUCCUGUGGUAGCCUCUGCGCUGUCACCCCGGCCCAGCGACCGCCUCCGGGGACUCUCCGGCUGCCCGUUCUCCUGCGGCACUGGGAAACCACCCUCAUCCUCUGAGCGCCGCUCACCCUUGGGGCUCAGCAGCUGCCUGAGGCGCAGGGAGCCCUUGCGCAGGACUUCCAUGGGGCCGCCCACGGUCUCCUCCGCUGGUCCGGUCUUUGGAGACUCCCCGGAGAAGCAGCUGCACUUUUUCAGUGGUGGUCGCUGCGGCCCCGCCUGCGCCCUCGGCCUGUGACGCGCUGAAGAUGAGCGAGGAGCGCAGCCUUGAGCUGCGCUGGAUGACUGGGUUCAGGCGCGAGCGGAAAGAGUCCUGCUUGGCCAGGCCUGUCUCCUCCGGGAUCUCGCCGCCACCGCUGCCUGAGCCUGGCACCGGGCCCUUGGUAGGGAAGGCUGUGGGGACGCGGAAGGCCGAAGGGAGCAGGUCCCCGGCGGCUGCCCGGCCCCCGGAAGCCAGCACGUCGUCUUCAUAGACCUCGGCUUCCAUGGGCACCGGCAGGCCCUCGUCGCCGGCAUCUUCACCGUGGCAACCGCUCAGGUAGGAGGCGAGGCGCCAGUGCCGCAGCCCUGCCCGUCCCUCGGGCCCGCCCCUGCGCUCUGGCUCUGCCUCUGCCGCGUGGUCUGGGCCGGCCCUCGCCGCAGCCUGGCACGGGAAGCGCUGGCCCAGGUUGGGGCGCA